ACAACGAAGAGUUUGAUCCUGGCUCAGGAUGAACGCUAGCGACAGGCCUAACACAUGCAAGUCGAGGGGCAGCAUGGAGUAGCAAUACUCUGAUGGCGACCGGCGCACGGGUGCGUAACAGGUGUGCAAUCUGUCCAUAGUCGGGGGAUAGCCCGGCGAAAGCCGAAUUAAUACUCCAUGUGUCACGAUGAGGCAUCUCAUUGUGAUGAAACGUAAGGACUAUGGGUGAGCACGCUUCUGAUUAGGUAGUUGGUGAGGUAACGGCCCACCAAGCCGACGAUCAGUAGGGGUUCUGAGAGGAAGGUCCCCCACAUUGGAACUGAGAUACGGUCCAAACUCCUAUGGGAGGCAGCAGUGAGGAAUAUUGGUCAAUGGACGAGAGUCUGAACCAGCCAAGUCGCGUGAAGGAUGAAGGUUCUAUGGAUUGUAAACUUCUUUUGUCCGAGGGUAAAAAAGGCUACGAGUAGCUUCUUUAAAGUAUCGGACGAAUACGCAUCGGCUAACUCCGUGCCAGCAGCCGC
rnacentral:rRNA from 1 species